AUGAGUGCAGCCGCCCCACCCGCAGGACAUCCAUGGCUGAUCUGCGGCGAUUUGAACCUAAUUUUUGAAGCUAGAGACAAGAACAACUCCAACAACAAUAGAAGGGUGAUGGGCAAAUUUAGGAACGUUAUUGAUCAAGCAGGCUUGAGGGAAAUAAAGUGCGAGAACAGGAAAUUUACUUGGUCAAGUGAAAGGAAAGACCCAACUAUGUGCAUCAUCGGCAAAUUCUUCAGCAACAUGAAAUGGGAAGAGGAAUGCCCUAGUUACCUGCUUAUGGCUGCGUCUACCUCGGUCUUGGACCACUACCCCUCCUACUUGCAUGCACGGCCGCACCUCCCAGGCGGGCAAAAUUCAGAUUUGAAUCAUUUUGGCCCCGGUUCCCGCGGUUUCAGGAAACAGUUGCCAGGAUGUGGCACAGACCGGUCAAUCAUUCAUGCCCAUACGUCAGGGUAA
rnacentral:rRNA from 1 species